GAACUGCGCAUGCGAGGGAUCUAGGCUGCGCGCUCCUUAUGAGAAUCUAACGCCUGAUGACCUAUCACUGUCUCCCAUCACUCCCAGAUGGGACCGUCUAGUUGCAGGAAAACAAGCUCAGGGCUCCCACUGAUUCUACAUUAUGCACACCAAAGAGAGUUCUAGAAAAAAUGAGAAUAAGAAAUUUACCUGUAAUCCUUGCUCAAGAAACUGAAGCUCUGAGGCCACAUUGUUCCAGCCUUUUGCAGCUCCUGCAUGUGGAUACCAGCACCAGCAGCUCCCCGACCAGGGGCCCCAGCUAAGCCCUCCCAGAGGAUGAUCUUGGCUUUGUACAUGGGGUGUCAAUAUCCUGUGAGUCCAACAGAGGGAAGACAUAAGAAUAUGGUCACCCAGGUUUUGUACAGAGGAAAUCCAGGCUCCUAACGAUGGCGAAAGAUGGGAAUAAAAGGAUCAGAACACUGAGCUGGAUCUUCAGUUCAUUUCAGGUAUGGAGAAGGGUAAAUGGUCUUUAAAGAAGGCCGACCUCAAUGAAGGUGUCUUCCAAGGCCUUGUCCACUCAAGGACAUGUUGCAUGCCUGAAACUGAGUAUACAGGAAAAGGAUAGAAAUGGAAUAAAAUGGAAACCCAUAAAUCACACUACCCUGCUAUGCAGUUUCAAACCACUGACUUAAUGAAAUGUUGAUCCACUUUGCCAUGGAUGCCCCACUUUUUAACUCCUUCUUCAGAGUCCCAGGAGGUGAGGCUCUUCUGUUUAACUGAUUUGCAGAAUUUUUGCUUCUGCUAUUACAAUGGCUUCCAUAGUUGAGUACCAAAGACACUUUACUAUGGUGCCACAGAGAUCAUUUUGCAGAUGAGGAAACAGACUGUUCUACUACCCAGGCUUUGGUUUUUUCUACUCAGUCUUGCACAAUCUCUCACUCUCAGCCCAGAACAUUGCUGCAUUUUUGUGAGCCAUCAGCAUCCAAAGUGAACACAGGGUCUAAAUAACUGAAGAUGGCAUGAGGGAACACACAAUCAGGUCUUUAAAAAAAGAAGAAAGUGAAUAGGCAAACUGAACAGGACAUCUAGGACUGAAAAGCCUCUGUGAACAACUGGACUCAAUAUGAAAUUGGCGUGAGCUCACAGAAGACCAGCUGAGUUCCAGAUGUGGUUGGGUAGCUUGGGUUAUGGGCCCGUAUAAAAAAAAUGGUCUCUUCUUGUAAAAGGAAUUCAAAAAAAGACUAAAAG
rnacentral:lncRNA from 1 species